rnacentral:rRNA from 1 species
AGAGUUUGAUCCUGGCUCAGAGCGAACGCUGGCGGCAGGCCUAACACAUGCAAGUCGAACGCAUCCUUCGGGGUGAGUGGCAGACGGGUGAGUAACGCGUGGGAACGUGCCCAUCGGUUCGGGAUAACCCAGGGAAACUUGGGCUAAUACCGGAUACGCCCUUUUGGGGAAAGAUUGAUUGCCGAUGGAUCGGCCCGCGUCUGAUUAGCUUGUUGGUGAGGUAACGGCUCACCAAGGCGACGAUCAGUAGCUGGUCUGAGAGGAUGAUCAGCCACACUGGGACUGAGACACGGCCCAGACUCCUACGGGAGGCAGCAGUGGGGAAUAUUGGACAAUGGGCGCAAGCCUGAUCCAGCCAUGCCGCGUGAGUGAUGAAGGCCCUAGGGUUGUAAAGCUCUUUCACCCACGACGAUAAUGACGGUAGUGGGAGAAGAAGCCCCGGCUAACUUCGUGCCAGCAGCCGCGGUAAUACGAAGGGGGCUAGCGUUGCUCGGAAUCACUGGGCGUAAAGGGCGCGUAGGCGGCCGAUCAAGUCAGGGGUGAAAGCCUGUGGCUCAACCACAGAAUGGCCUUUGAUACUGUUCGGCUCGAGACCGGAAGAGGUUGGUGGAACUGCGAGUGUAGAGGUGAAAUUCGUAGAUAUUCGCAAGAACACCAGUGGCGAAGGCGGCCAACUGGUCCGGUUCUGACGCUGAGGCGCGAAAGCGUGGGGAGCAAACAGGAUUAGAUACCCUAGUAGUCC